rnacentral:rRNA from 1 species
AGAGUUUGAUCUUGGCUCAAGAUGAAUGUUGGCAGCAUGCUUAACACAUGCAAGUCAGAUGGGAAGUGGUGUUUCCAGUAGCGGACGGGUGAGUAACGCAUAAGAGCCUGCCCUUGGGAGGGGAACAAUAGCUAGAAACGGCUGCUAAUACGCCCAUAGGCUGAGGAGCCAAAGGAGGAAUUUCCGCCUUCAAGGAGGGGCUCGCGUUCUGAUUAAGCGUUAGUUGGUCGAGGCAAUGGCUUACCAAAGGCGACGAAGUCAAGUAGCUGGUCCCGAAGGAUGAUCAGUCCACACUGGGACUGGAGCACGGCCCAGGACCCUACGGAGGCAGCAGUGGGGAAUUUUCUGCAAUGGGCGAAAGCUUGAUGGAGCAAUGCCACGUGAAGGCAAAAGGCCCACGGGUCAUCAACUUCUUUUCUCAGAGAAGAAAAAAUGACGAUAUCUGAGGAAUAAGAAUUGGCUAAAUCUGUGCCAACAGCCGCGGUAAGAAAGAGGAUGUAAGUGUUAUCCGGAAUGAUUAGGCGUAAAGCAUUUGUAGGUGGCUUUUCAAGUGCCGUCAAAUCCCAGGGCCAAACCUUGGAUAGGUGGUGGAAACUACCAAGCUCGAGUACGGUAGGCGCAGAGGGAAUUUCUGGUGGAACGAUGAAAUGUGUUGAGAUUGAAAAAAACACCAACGUCGAAAGCACUCUGCUAGGCCGACACUGACACUGAGAGACAAAAGCUAGGGGAGAAAAUGGGAUUAGAUACCCCAGUAUUCCUAGCCGUAAAUGAUGGAUACUAAGUUUUGUGCAUAUAGACCCACGCAGUCUUGUAGCUAACAUGUUAAGUAUCCCACCUGGGGAGUACAUUCGCAAGAAUGAAACUCAAAGAAAUUGACAGGGGCCUGCACAAGCAGUGGAGCAUGUGGUUCAAUUUGAUGCAUAACAGAGAACCUUACUAGGGCUUGACAUGCCAAAUCCUCCCGAAAGAGAGGAGCGCCUUUGGGAACACAGACACAGGUGGUGCAUGGCUGUUGUCAGCUCGUGCUGUAAGGUGUUGGAGUCCCGCAAUGAGCGCAACCCUCGUGUUUAGUUACCAGCAUUUAGUGGACCCUAAACAACGCCGGUGAUAAGCCGGAGGAAAGGUGAGGGACGUCAAGUCAUCAUGCCCCUUACGCCCUGGGUGACACAUGUUGUGGAAUGACCGGGACAAAGGGCUACAACCCCACAAGGGCAAGCUAACCUCAAACACUUGGCCUUAGUUUGGAUUGGAGGUUGCAACACACCUGCAUGAAGCCAAAAUUGCAAGUAAUCGUUGGUCAGCCAUAUGGUGGUGAAUCCGUUCCCAGGCCUUGUACACAUCGCCCAUCACACUAUGGGAGCUAGCCAUGCCCCAAGUCAUUACCUUAACUGUAAGGAGGGGGAUGUCGAAGGCUGGGCUAGUGACUGG